rnacentral:lncRNA from 1 species
UGUAUCUCAGCAGAGUGAAUUCAAGAGGAGGAGCAUCCCUGUUCCGUUAGAAAGAGACACCACACUUUGGAGAAGUGAAGUGAAAUCUGAGGCCCAGAAGUGAAGUUACGUGGUCAAAGAGGAGCCAGAAGUGGGAUUUUAAGCUUCUUGCAAUAUUGCUUCAUACUUUUGUAAAGACGUGAUGAUUUUGCCUUGCUGCAUUUUCAGUAAAUU